GACACGCCGCCUAAGGAAGCCAAAUUCACCUAUUACCAGAAGGCUACUUUUGCCAGCGCAAUGCUGGCAACGUUGGCGAAUUAUAUGGGCUUCUCUAUCAUAUCUGUCUUCUACCCAAUCAAUGCAAAAGGAAGAGGGAUUUCGGAAGCCGCUAUUGGUCUCGUGUUUAGCGCAUUCUCCCUCUCAGCGGGUAUUGGAUCACCUAUAUGGGGCAAAAUUAUUCCUAUCGUUGGCGCUCGGUUUGUCUUUUUGGGGGGAACAUUCGUUACUGGCGGUUGCAACAUCUUGUUUGGGUAAGCAGUUGUAUCUGUUAACGUUUUUACAGAAUCGUUUUAUGCAAAAUGUAAAGGUUAACAUUAAUACUUGAUAAUACUUUGUAUACACUCAUUCUGUCUCAGUUAAAGGAAAUUAAUCGAAGGCCACCUUGGGUGUUUUCUGA